rnacentral:rRNA from 1 species
ACAUGAACAUCGACAUUUUGAACGCAUAUUGCGGUCCAUACUGACUAGUUUUCUUUAUUGAAAGCUGUAUGGACCACACAUGGUUGAGGGUCGUUAGAUUAUGCUAACCAAAUUGCUUUUUAUUAAGCGAAAUGUUGAGGUGUUGUCAAUCUUAAGUGCAUUGGCAUCCCUUGGAAAUACCUUUUUAAGGUACACAAUUUUCUAUUGUGAAAUGCCAUUUAUCAAAGGAUAUAAAUAUUUUAUCUAAGAAAUUAGUAAACUUUGAAUAAGCGUUUAAACAUAAUAGUUUUCGCAUUUCAUCGCCUAAUUGAAAAUUUCUUAUUUAUUUAUAUACAUUUAUUAUCCGUUAAAAUUUGAUGAAUAUUAAAAAGGGCAAUUUAAGUAACGAUAGUUUAAUUGGAUAAUGUGUGUUAAAUAAA